rnacentral:antisense_RNA from 1 species
UUGGCGGUGAACUCCCAGUCGCGGUCGGGGCCGACGAGCGUCUCGUCGCCGAAGUGGUCGCCGUGGGCCAGCACCUUGAGGAUGAUCUGGUCGCCGUACGGCCCCGUGCCGAUCUUGUUGACCUUGCCGUGCGCGAUGAGCACCACCUCGUCGGCCGGACGCCCGCUCUCGGCGAGCACGUCCCCGGCGCGGAACUCACGCUGGACGAAGUGGCCGGCCAGGGCGGUGAGCACGUCGGUGUCGUCGAACUCGCGCAGGACGGGCAGCUCGCACAGCUCGGCGGGGAUGACCGCCGCCUGCGACCCCGUGGUGGUGAAGCUCACCCGGCCGUCGCCGACCGUGUAGGUCAGACGGCGGUUGACCCGGUAGGUGCCGCCGGACACCUGCACCCAGGGGAGCAUCCGCAGCAGCCACCGCGAGGAGAUCUCCUGCAUCUGGGGCGUCGACUUGGUCGUCGUCGCGAGGUUCCGCGCGGCGUCCGUGCCCAGGCUCAGCCGCGACCGGCCG